UACGAACUGUGCAAACGUUAUUCGGAAUCACUGGGCUUACAGGGUGCGUAGGCGGCUUGUUAAGUAGGGUGUGAAAGCCCCCGGCUCAACCGGGGAAUUGCGCCCUAAACUGGCGAGCUGGAGUGAGAUAGGGGUGUGUGGAACUUCCGGUGGAGCGGUGAAAUGUGUUGAUAUCGGGAGGAACAUCCGUGGCGAAGGCGACUACCUGGACCAGCACUGACACUGAGGCACGAAAGCCAGGGGAGCAAACGGG
rnacentral:rRNA from 1 species